rnacentral:rRNA from 1 species
UACAGAGGUGGCAAGCGUUGUUCGGAUUUACUGGGCGUACAGGGAGCGUAGGCGGUUGGAUAAGCCCUCCGUGAAAUCUCCAGGCUUAACCUGGAAAGUGCAGAGGGGACUGUUCAGCUAGAGGAUGGGAGAGGAGCGCAGAAUUCCCGGUGUAGCGGUGAAAUGCGUAGAGAUCGGCAGGAACACCCAGGGGGAAACCAGCCGACUGGGCAUCUACUGACGCUGAGGUGCGAGAGCGUGGGGAGCGAACCGG